rnacentral:rRNA from 1 species
GUAGGUGGCAAGCGUUGUCCGGAAUUAUUGGGCGUAAAGCGCGCGCAGGCGGUUCUUUAAGUCUGAUGUGAAAGCCCACGGCUCAACCGUGGAGGGUCAUUAGAAACUGGAGAACUUGAGUACAGAAGAGGAAAGCGGAAUUCCACGUGUAGCGGUGAAAUGCGUAGAGAUGUGGAGGAACACCAGUGGCGAAGGCGGCUUUCUGGUCUGUAACUGACGCUGAGGCGCGAAAGCGUGGGGAGCAAACAGGAUUAGAUACCCUGGUAGUCCACGCCGUAAACGAUGAGUGCUAAGUGUUAGGGGGGUUUCCGCCCCCCUUAGUGCUGCAGCUAACGCAUUAAGCACUCCGCCUGGGAGUACGGCCGCAAGGCUG